rnacentral:rRNA from 1 species
CCUACGGGUGGCAGCAGUGGGGAAUCUUGCACAAUGGGGGAAACCCUGAUGCAGCGACGCCGCGUGAGUGAUGAAGCCCUUCGGGGUGUAAAGCUCUUUCGACGGGAACGAUUAUGACGGUACCCGGAGAAGAAGCUGCGGCUAACUACGUGCCAGCAGCCGCGGUAAUACGUAGGCAGCAAACGUUGUUCGGAAUUACUGGGCGUAAAGAGUGUGUAGGCGGUCCUGUAAGAUUGGUGUGAAAUCUCCCGGCUUAACUGGGAGGGUGCGCCGAUAACUGCUGGGCUCGAGUAUUGGAGAGGAGAGCGGAAUUCCUGGUGUAGCGGUGAAAUGCGUAGAUAUCAGGAGGAACACCGGUGGUGUAGACGGCUCUCUGGACAAUCACUGACGCUGAGACACGAAAGCGUGGGGAGCAAACAGGAUUAGAUACCCCAGUAGUC